rnacentral:lncRNA from 1 species
GAGUUGGAAUUAGGGCCCGGCGAUAUUGCCUCAAAUCAAAAUUCUGAUAUACUGAGCAGUUCACCUUGAUAACGAUAAAUGGACGAUAACUACUCCAUAAGCUGCUCAGCCCUCCCACAUUAACUUCGUCUACCUCAGCCGCCGCUCCAACUUUUGAACCAUCCUCCAUCUCCUCACCUGUCUUUCCCUCUUUGUUGCAGACUGGAUGGGGUUGAGUCACAUCUUCUACGUAGGACAGUGUCUUAGAGGGACAUGAGACCAUAGCCUACCUACAUUAAUCCAGAACCAACUUUUAUUUAUUUAUUUAUUUAUUCAUUUUGACACCGAAUAUAUUGACAUGUGCAAAAUGACAUGGGCUAUUGUCGUAAAUUUCGGUAUCGGUAAAUUUUCGGUUUAUCGCCCAGCCCUAGUUGGAGUAAAGAUUUUCUUUUUAAUACUUCAUUUCAUUGUUCAAGACAAUGUUUCACAACCUAAUAAUGAACCACAAAUUAGCUUACAAAAGGUUAUCAGUCCUUACCUUUCACAGUCCUGGUGUCAUGAUAUGCGCUUUGGGGUCCCAAUACAUGGCCUAAAUAUGCACACUGUUAAGCACUUCAAAAGCAGAGAAGCUUUCACAAGCCAGCAUAAAUGUUAAAUUCUGUUCUAAAUUCAUUUACUUUCACCCAGCUAAGAUCUGGUUAAAAAGUUUCUUUGUCUAAAACAACACUUUUAACAGGGAACAUACUCAUUUUUGCUUCAAUAUCAGCCAUGAGUACAACAAAUUAUGCUUAAAGAAAAUUAUCAAAAGAAAUAAAAGUCCCCUUGCUCACUAACCUACAUGUCAUUGCCAGACUUUAUAACCCUGAACAAAUCCACAUCUCUGCAGAACUAAAUAUUAAAUAGAAUUUUUCACAGAAAAUCUAACCCAAUCACACGGCACUAAAUUUCAGGAUAAAUGAAUAACUGAUCCUGUUGCCAAGAGACUCUAUUCAACACAGCUCCUACUGUUCCUUUAAAAAGAUUAGAAUUCAAACUGUGAUUGAAGUUGUAAUUGUUCAGUAGGUGUUAAUCAUGUACUAUUAAUAUAAUUUACCUAUAUUUUACUCCUGUUCUCUGAAUAGAGCUGCACCUGUUUUAGUUACCUAAGUUUGUGUCUUGAGUUGUACAGUUUCUUUGGACUUUGUUCCAGGAAACUUGCCAAGUUAUGUGAUGUUGGCACAAGCCAGCUAAGAACACACACAUCUGCAACAGUAAGCCUCAUUACACCUCAGGAUAUUCGCAGAUGUCCCUCAGUUCUCAUUGUCUCUCAUCACACCUUGUGAUCGCAUAAGCAGACGCCCAAACAUUCAGCCAUUUAUUAUGUUUUUCAAAAUACCCAUGUGGAAAAAUGUUUUUUCCAUCAUGCAUCCUCUUAUCAUAUUUAGCUCUAAUAGUCACUCAAUCAUCUGUAAUAAUUCCAUUGUUAAAGUUUUCAAAAAAGCUCUGUUUGCAAAGUACAAAUAUGUGCUGCAUGAGGCAUCACGAUUAUGCAUCAUGAAUUAUGCACAAAAGCAAAAGAUCUGUAUGCAAACAGCACACACUCACAGCAGCACAGUAAUUGGUUUUAUGUAAUAAAACUUUUCCCCCCUUAAGUAUUUCUGCUUCUUGUGUACGCAGUGACCCACAGUUAUCAGCUGACAACCAGACUGGAUCAGGAAUUUAAGAUGAAUAACACAAAUCAGCUUACUCACAAUAACACAAAAGGUCUGGUGAAUACAGAGAGGCGCUGUCAGCAGUUUGCGAGCGGCAGCAGCAGGAAACGAGCUCCUCUGACAGUGUAAAUCAUAGAUCAGUUCAUUAACAAAAUGGCACUGAUGGAUUUACACUGGGGUCAGAACAUUACCGAGCGCCUGGAGGAUCCUGACUCUCUUACAACCUUGGACAACGUUCUUCCUCUCCAUCUUUUCUCACUGAACAUUUAAAAUCCCUGUUCUGCACCUCGAGCAUAAGAGGAGAUUUACACCUAAAAAAAAAAAAGGCCAUGUGUGAGCGAAGCUUUUCUUUUUAAAGUUUAACACAUGAGCUCAUAGAAAGGCCUGAGGAAAGCUAUUCAUGAAUUUGAUGUCGGCAAACAACUUGUUUUUAAGUUGUUACAUGAUCUCCAUUGAGUCUCCACAGAAGCUUGUACCAGUUCGACACUAACAAUGUUUACAUGAAAAUAAAUACUUGAUCCAAUUAAAAAUUUAAGGGAUAAUCUGAAUCCACAGUUUAUAUGAUGCAAAAUCAAAUAAUCUAAUCAUGACGUGCAUAUACAUGCACCAAGCUUUAUUCAGAUUAGAAGCAUUUGGACAUGAGCAGAGUCGUCUGAUUUCUCUAAAACAACCGCAGAAGAAGAAGAGUUGUAUUUACGCCUGUGCUGUCAACAAACCAACAAACGCGCUAGUGGCUCAUUCCAUCCAAUUCAGGUGUUUUCCCCUUGUUAAAUGUUGUCAAUAGAUGGCGCCCUUGCUUACAUAUUUUACUGUUCUGUCAAAGGUUGCAAUGUGCGUGCAGAUGUGACAUCAUUACUGUCUUUGUACGCCUUGUUAUGUUACCGGAAGAGCAGACACAGCAGCUGCGGUUGUGUUUCAUGCCAGAGUGUUAAUAAUAAAACCUCCUGUACUGACCUUAAUGAAUAAACCAAAGGCUAAAGAGUGAAGAUCGAGUCAGGUAAGAGAGUCCUGAUCGGAAUAAGUGUGAUUGGCAUAAACCACCCCUCUUGAUCGGAAUACAAUUUUUUUUCCAGUUGAGCCGAAUUUGAUCAGAAUCUUCCGAUCGACAUGUUUACAUGAUACAUUUUUAUUCUGAUCAUCUGUACCCAUGUAAACUCAGCUACUGUAUAGAAACAGCUUGUCGAGCAACAACCAGCAGGUGUAUAAACAGCAAACAUUAAUGCUUUCAUUAGAGCGGUGAGUGCACAGACUGAGCAUCAUAGAAAAUAACAAAAUAACAAAAAGAUUAAAAAACGUGAAUAUUUGAAGCUUCUUCUGCACAGAACAGCUAAAUAAAUCCAUGUGCACUGUGGUGGACUAGCAUCCUUUUCAAUCUGCUUUUUGCCCAAAGCCUUCUUAUAAAUGGAUCUGCUGAUAGCUGAAUCAGGAGAUAACUACUUAAUGAUCCGAAAAAGGAAGAAAAAAAAAAAGCUAGAGUAGACGAUUUCAGCUAAUCAAUCACAAUAUACUGCUCGGACCUUAAAAAUAGGUAAGUAUGAUGCAGUUUUGAUAAAAAUGAAAUCGUCCUGGACUGAUUUGUGCCCGGGUAAAAAAGGGGAAGAAAAGGCUUUAUGCGUGUGUGAGGAAGGGGUAAAAUAGGCUGUGAGUCACAGAAUACUUCCUCCUGCCUGCACAAAGCUUUCCUUUUCUUCUCUUGUCUGCCAUGAAUUACCUUUGCCUGAAGCCCUCUCUUUUGAAAGUCAAAAAGGGCGUUAAGAAACUCCUCACAGAAUCACAUUUCUGCUGUGAAAUAAAACUAUAAACUCCUUUGAUCCGAGUGUAAUUCACUGACUUUUUAUUUUGCUGGUUUGGAUACAGUGGGAGAUGUCUGACAGGGAUUAAUGACUCCCAUAAUUACUGCACUUUGAUGACGUUACAUUUAUUCACGACUCAGUGCUUACACAACCGCUGUGCUAUAAUAAUUUAGUUAUUUAUAACAGCCUGUCACCUGUGUCUGAACCCAACAUGUAAUAUCAUUCAGCCGCCCAGGGGGGAUGUGUGUGUAUGUGUCAUUGUCUGUAUCAGAGCUGUCCACUGAAGGCUGUCUGUAGCUGAGGGGCUGUUGUGGCUGUGUUGCGGCUCUCUCUGAGCCCUUUUUUGGGGGGAAGGAGAAGGAGCAUUUGGCUUCUUCCUGCUGAGAGCUACUUAGUCCAUAGUAGGUCAAGUAGAGGUGACACACGAGUCUCUUCGGCCCUGGUGUAUAGUCUGCUGUACUGCUGUGUGCGAAGUGAAUCCUGAGCUCCACUCUCACUCCACCAGACUAGAAUGAGUGUCACUCCCCUGAGAGGAGCUGUCACGGGCAGGAAAUGUGCUUGGAGAGGGGGAGAGAGGCACCGUUUCUGCAAUCAUUGACCAACGACUGACACGCCGAGCUGUGAGGAAAUGAACAGUAGCCAGAACUGGAGCGGCGAAAAAGGCAAUGCUUUUCUUAAUUAGAAAGGUUUAGCUGAGAGGGUUUUUAUCAAAUGUCAUGGCAGGUGUUUAUUAGACAUGAAAUAGAUUCUGUUCAGACUUCCAUGCUCCCCCCUUCAGGACCUGGAAGAGCCACAGAAUUACAAUUACACACCUGGAGAAUUCUGCAGCAGCAUCAGUAAACAUGAUUAAAAAACAUUAAAUAUCAGGAAUUCUCCCAUGAAUCUCAAUUUGUGAAGCCCAAC